AGAGCGAACGCUGGCGGCGUGCUUAACACAUGCAAGUCGAGUGCGCGUCCGUAGCAAUACGGAUGGCGCACGGCGCACGGGUGCGUAACACGUGGGCAAUCUGCCCUCGGAUGGGGGAUACCCCCGCGAAAGCGGGACUAAUACCGCAUGAAAUUCCCGAGACUCCGGUCUUGGGACUCAAAGGCCGCAAGGUCGUCUGAGGAGGAGCCCGCGCCCGAUUAGCUAGUUGGUGAGGUAACGGCUCACCAAGGCUUUGAUCGGUAGCCGGUCUGAGAGGAUGGCCGGCCACACUGGAACUGAGACACGGUCCAGACUCCUACGGGAGGCAGCAGUGGGGAAUAUUGCGCAAUGGGCGAAAGCCUGACGCAGCGACGCCGCGUGGGGAUGAAGCUUUUCGGAGUGUAAACCCCUUUCGACCCGGACGAAUGACCCGCAAGGGUUUGACGGUACGGGUAUAAGAAGCCCGGCUAACGUACGUGCCAGCAGCCGC
rnacentral:rRNA from 1 species